UGUACGAACGGGCAAAAUCAUUGAAAAGUGAUGACGCAAAACUAGAGGGGCUAAGGUCUUAAAGACUAUGUCAGCCAGUUACCGAA
rnacentral:ncRNA from 1 species